rnacentral:rRNA from 1 species
CCUACGGGGGGCAGCAGUAGGGAAUUUUCCGCAAUGGGCGAAAGCCUGACGGAGCAAUACCGCGUGAGGGAUGACUGCCUAUGGGUUGUAAACCUCUUUUUUCAGGGAGGAAUAAAUGACGUGUACCUGAAGAAUAAGCAUCGGCUAACUCCGUGCCAGCAGCCGCGGUAAGACGGAGGAUGCAAGUGUUAUCCGGAAUCACUGGGCGUAAAGCGUCUGUAGGUGGCUCGACAAGUCAACUGUUAAAUCUUGAAGCUCAACUUCAAAAUCGCAGUCGAAACUAUCGGACUAGAGUAUAGUAGAGGUAAAGGGAAUUUCCAGUGGAGCGGUGAAAUGCGUAGAGAUUGGAAAGAACACCGAUGGCGAAGGCACUUUACUGGGCUAUUACUGACACUCAGAGACGAAAGCUAGGGUAGCAAAUGGGAUUAGAUACCCCAGUAGUC